CCAUAGCGUAUAUUUAAGUUGCUGCAGUUAAAAAGCUCGUAGUUGGAUUUCGGGUGGGAAUGGCCGGUCCGCCGUUUCGGUGUGCAAUUGCUACGCCCACCUUGCUGCCGGGGACGUGCUCUUGAGUUCACGCUCGGGACACGGAGUCGGCGAGGUUACUUUGAGUAAAUUAGAGUGUUCAAAGCAGGCCUAAGCUCUGAAUACAUUAGCAUGGAAUAACACGAUAGGACUCUGGCCUAUCUUGUUGGUCUGUAGGACCGGAGUAAUGAUUAAGAGGGACAGUCGGGGGCAUUCGUAUUUCAUUGUCAGAGGUGAAAUUCUUGGAUUUAUGAAAGACGAACUACUGCGAAAGCAUUUGCCAAGGAUGUUUUCAUUAA
rnacentral:rRNA from 1 species